rnacentral:rRNA from 1 species
UGCGGCGCGCUUAAGCAUGCAAGUCGAGCGGUAAGAUUGGUGCUUGCACUAAUCCUAGAGCGGCGGACUGGUGAGUAACGCGUGGGUGACGUACCUUUGUGACGGGGACAGCUCCUAGAAAUAGGAGAUAAUACCGGAUACGCUGCAUGUUGUCAGAGGACAUGCAGGAAAGAUCUUUUUGAUUCGCACGAAGAGCGGCCCGCGUACUAUUAGCUAGUUGGUGAGGUAACGGCCCACCAAGGCAACGAUAGUUACCCGGCCUAAGAGGGUGAUCGGGCACAUUGGGACUGAGAUACGGCCCAGACUCCUACGGGAGGCAGCAGCUAAGAAUAUUCCGCAAUGGACGAAAGUCUGACGGAGCGACGCCGCGUGGAUGAUGAAGGCCGGAAGGUUUGUAAAAUCCUUUUAUGACUGAGGAAUAAGCAGAGUGAGAGAAACGCUUUGUGGUGACUGCAGGUCAUGAAUAAGCAACGGCUAAUUACGUGCCAGCAGCUGC